rnacentral:misc_RNA from 1 species
UCCGGUUCUUCACCAGCAGUCUCCUUAGAGUCCCCACCAUUACAUGUUGGUAACUAAGGAUAAGGGUUGCGCUCGUUACGGGACUUAACCCAACAUCUCACAACACGAGCUGACGACAGCCAUGCAGCACCUGUCUCACGGUUCCUUUCGGCACUCCAGCAUCUCUGCCAGAUCCCGUGGAUGUCAAGGGUAGGUAAGGUUCUUCGCGUUGCAUCGAAUUAAACCACAUGCUCCACCGCUUGUGCGGGCCCCCGUCAAUUCCUUUGAGUUUUAACCUUGCGGUCGUACUCCCCAGGCGGAAGACUUAUCGCGUUAGCUUCGAUACUAAAGGGUCUAGGCCCUACAACAUCUAGUCUUCAUCGUUUACAGCGUGGACUAC